rnacentral:rRNA from 1 species
CCUACGGGAGGCAGCAGUGGGGAAUUUUGGACAAUGGGCGCAAGCCUGAUCCAGCAAUGCCGCGUGCAGGAUGAAGGCCUUCGGGUUGUAAACUGCUUUUGUACGGAACGAAAAAGUCUGCCCUAAUACGGUGGGCCCAUGACGGUACCGUAAGAAUAAGCACCGGCUAACUACGUGCCAGCAGCCGCGGUAAUACGUAGGGUGCGAGCGUUAAUCGGAAUUACUGGGCGUAAAGCGUGCGCAGGCGGUUAUAUAAGACAGAUGUGAAAUCCCCGGGCUCAACCUGGGACCUGCAUUUGUGACUGUAUAGCUAGAGUACGGUAGAGGGGGAUGGAAUUCCGCGUGUAGCAGUGAAAUGCGUAGAUAUGCGGAGGAACACCGAUGGCGAAGGCAAUCCCCUGGACCUGUACUGACGCUCAUGCACGAAAGCGUGGGGAGCAAACAGGAUUAGAUACCCUGGUAGUCCACGCCCUAAACGAUGUCAACUGGUUNUUGGGUCUUCACUGACUCAGUAACGAAGCUAACGCGUGAAGUUGACCGCCUGGGGAUACGGCCGCAAGGUUGAAACUCAAAGGAAUUGACGGCUGAGACGNGCGACGACGACGACGAGGGAGGAGG